CUACGGGCCGCUGCAGUGGGGAAUAUUGCGCAAUGGGCGAAAGCCUGACGCAGCAACGCCGCGUGAGUGAUGAAGGCCUUCGGGUCGUAAAGCUCUGUCGGGAGGGAAGAACACCUUCGGGUCUGACGGUACCUCCCGAGGAAGCACAGGCUAACUCCGUGCCAGGCAGCCGCGGUAAUACGGAGUGUGCAAGCGUUGUUCGGAAUUACUGGGCGUAAAGCGCGCGUAGGCGGCUUGAUAAGUCAGAUGUGAAAUCCCUCGGCUUAACCGAGGAACUGCAUUUGAAACUGUCAGGCUUGAGUACGGGAGGGGGAAGCGGAAUUCCCAGUGUAGAGGUGAAAUUCGUAGAUAUUGGGAGGAACACCAGCGGCGAAGGCGGCUUCCUGGACCGAUACUGACGCUGAGGCGCGAAAGCGUGGGGAGCAAACAGGAUUAGAUACCCGUGUAGUC
rnacentral:rRNA from 1 species